UUCCUUUUUAGUGGGCAAGUUCAAGGGACUUUAACUUGUGUGAUUUGUUUCCUUAUUCCAGGGAAAGCUCUGGGCUUGUACUCCUCUCCAGCUGUCCCCAGACAGCUAGUCGCCUCCAGAAGUUCUUCACCCAUGCACGGAGAGCCCAGAGGCCCACAGCCACCUACUGGUGAGAGGUGCUGGGAGGUUCCUAGAGUGGUGGGGAGGUCCCAGCAAGCCACCCUGUGACCUCCUCCUGCCCCUUUCUCAGUGCUGUCACUGAUGGGAUCCCAGCUGCUUCUGAGGGGAAGAUCCAGGCCGCCCUGAAACUGGAACACAUUGAUGGGGUCAAUCUUGUGAGUCCGGGUCUGGGCAGGGAAGAGGAAGGAUGCUUCUAGAUAUGAGUACCCCUACAGAGAGGAGUCAGGGGUAUGGAUUUGGGAUGGCUGGCUCUCCUGUCCCCUAAAACAGGCAAGUGACCACUGCCUAUACUGUGGCCCUGCCCAGAGUCUGUUGGGAGCAGGGAGGGUCUGGGUAUAGCUCCCAGGCCUGUGUAAGGCUUAUUCACUCUUGGCUGGCACCACAGACAGUUCCAGUGAAGGCCCCAUCCCGAAAGGACAUCCUGGAAGGUGUCAAGAAGACUCUCAGUCACUUUCGUGUGGUAGCCACAGGCUCUGGCUGUGCCCUGGUCCAGCUGCAGCCACUGACAGUGUUCUCCAGUCAACUACAGGUGCACAUGGUACUACAGCUCUGCCCUGUGCUUGGGGACCACAUGUACUCUGCCCGUGUGGGCACUGUCCUGGGCCAGCGAUUUCUGCUGCCAGCUGAGAACAAGCCCCAAAGACAGGUCCUGGAUGAAGCCCUCCUCAGAUGCCUCCACCUGACCCCUUCCCAGGCUGCCCAGCUGCCCUUGCACCUCCACCUACAUCGGCUCCUCCUCCCAGGCACCAGGGCCAGCGACACCCCCAUCGAGCUCCUGGCACCACUGCCCCCUUAUUUCUCCAGGACCCUACAGUGCCUGGGGCUCUGCUUACAAUAGUCCUCCCUCUGUUCCUGACCCCCUCACACACACUGGAAGGUGAGGGUGGGGGCUCUGCAGUCAGACAAACCUAAGAUCACAUCCUGGACAGGCCACUUGCUUGCUGUGUGGCACUGGGCAAGUAACUUUACCUC
rnacentral:sRNA from 1 species